AGCAGCCGCGGUAAUUCCAGCUCCAAUAGCGUAUAUUAAAGUUGCUGCAGUUAAAAAGCUCGUAGUUGAAUUUCGGGACCAUCAUGUCGGUCGUGCCUCGGCACGUACUGGCAUUGUUGGUUUCUACCUUCUGACGAACCAUGAUGUCAUUUAUUUGGUGUCGUGGGAAAUCAGGACUGUUACUUUGAAAAAAUUAGAGUGUUUAAAGCAGGCUCACGCUUGAAUACAUUAGCAUGGAAUAAUGAAAUAGGACGUUUGAUUCUAUUUUGUUGGUUUCUAGGACCGACGUAAUGAUUAAUAGGGAUAGUUGGGGGCAUUAGUAUUCAAUUGUCAGAGGUGAAAUUCUUGGAUUUAUUGAAGACUAACUACUGCGAAAGCAUUUGCCAAGGAUGUUUUCAUUAAUCAAGAACGAAAGUUAGGGGAUCGAAGACGAUCAGAUACCGUCGUAGUCUUAACCAUAAACUAUGCCGACUAGGGAUCGGAUGAUGUUAAUUUUUUAAUGACUCA
rnacentral:rRNA from 1 species